rnacentral:tRNA from 1 species
GAGGCACUAGUAAAAAGAGUAUUACACCGCCUUGUCAAGGCGAAAUUGUGGGUUAAACCCCCACGUGCCUUA